GGCGUAUCGAAAUGAUUGAUAUGUCAUUCGAUUGCUAAAAGUUGUGCGAACAAGUGUAAAAAAUGUCUAGCUCCGUAAAUAUGUGGAACCCGUCCGAAUUGUACAAGCGCGUAACGUGUGUUAUGAUGGCUCGUGCCGGCCAUACGAAUGCCGAAAUUCGGAAGGCGGCGAUGUGUUCGCUGAACACCGUAAAAACAAUACGGUGGCCAAUGGGCGGCCGUACAUUUGGCAGCAGGAUUCAGCAUCAUGCCAUACGGCCGUUAAAACACGCCAAUGGCUCACUGCCAAUUUCGACCGAUACACCAGCACCGACGUUUGGCCACCCAGCUCCCCUGACCUUAAUCCUAUGGAUUACUUUGUGUGGGGCACAGUUGAGCGGGACACCAACAGGGCGUCCUGCAAUACCAAAGCGGAGCUGGUGGCCAGAAUAAAGGCCGUGUUUGCGGCCAUCCCCAGAGACAUGGUUGUCCGGGCUUGCGCGCGGUUCCGGAAGCGGGUGCAGGCGGCCAUCGACGCGGAGGGGGGGUACUUCGAAUAAAAAAUGCGGCAAACAUGAAACUGUCAAAUUUAUAUAUAUAUAUAUGGGACUACCAUCACCUUGGACGGUCUUAAAAAACUUAAAAGACACAUACGAGGCCAAAAGUCGUUCUGAGAAUCUUCCUCCCGAUCAAAAGGGUUUCUUCAGAUUUGAUAAAUAUGAAAAUAAAUCUACGUGAUUUUUUGUAUCCAUGAGUUUGAGUAGAGAAGCAAUUAAAGUA